CAACUAAUUUUUGUUCAUUGUUAUUAUAGCAGCUGUAAGUAACGGUUGGUGAAAAUUUUGAUCGGAAGUAAAAUAAAAUCAACGAAGACACAAAAAGUUUAAUCAAUACUGUGCAAAACAUACAAUAACAAAAAUUUCUUCCUAAUCAAAGACGUGUAUAUUUUCGGUGCCAAUAGUCAAGUUGGAAAGCGCGCAAAUUAAAACGUUCUUAUCAAACACAUAUACAUAAAUAUCUGAAGUGGUGAUAAUAAAAAACACAAUAUGAAUUUAUCCUUUGCUGGAUGCGGUUUCCUUGGAAUAUAUCAUGUCGGCGUUGCUGUUUCCUUUAAGAAGUACGCGCCGCAUCUACUUCUAGAAAAAAUUGGAGGAGCCUCGGCGGGCUCCUUAGCAGCAUGCUGCCUACUAUGCGAUUUGCCACUAGGUAGCAUGACAUCGGACUUCUUUCGUGUGGUAAACGAGGCACGACGUCAUUCGCUUGGACCGUUCAGUCCGUCUUUCAAUAUUCAAACUUGUUUGCUAGAAGGGCUCCAGAAACAUCUUCCACAUGACACGCAUAAGCGCGUCAGCGGACGUUUGCAUAUCUCUCUAACGCGUGUUUACGAUGGCAAGAACGUGAUCAUUUCUGAGUUUAACUCGCGUGAAGAAGUGUUGCAAGCUUUACUUUGUGCGUGCUUUAUUCCCGGGUUUUCCGGAAUUUUACCACCGCGAUUCCGUGGCGUGCGCUAUAUGGAUGGUGCAUUUUCGGAUAACUUACCAAUUCUAGAUGAAAACACAAUCACUGUGAGCCCAUUUUGCGGAGAAAGCGAUAUUUGCCCACGUGAUCAGAGCUCACAACUUUUCCAUCUAAACUGGGCCAAUACAAGUAUCGAAAUAUCGCGCCAAAACAUCAACCGCUUUGUACGUAUUCUGUUUCCGCCGAGAGCAGAGUUCCUCUCAAAAUUCUGCCAGCAGGGAUUCGAUGAUGCACUGCAAUUUCUGCAUCGUAACAACUUGAUUAACUGCAGACGCUGCAUAGCCGUUCAGUCUACAUAUGUAGUUUCUGAAACCGUUGCACCAUCGCAAGAGAAUGAGUCUGAAUGCCGCGAAUGUAAAAAACAUAGAAAGGAUGCAUUGAGUUCAAACCUGCCAGAAACAGUGAUGGUGGUUAUACAAGACUAUAUAGAACAGGCUAACAAAGGCUUGGCCAAUUGGAUUUUCAAACAUCGUGGAAUUAAAUUGCUUUCUUUGCCAGCAACCGUACCGAUGGAAUUUUUCCUGGCCACAAUAUCAAAACUCACCACCAUUACGCCAAAACUGACAAAACAAAUGCGUCAUAUAGUGGAAGAGUUUAUUGAUCAGCUUAACAAUACUAUGACAAUUCGUUUCCUCAACAAAUUUACACUUUACGAUCAGCCCCAUUUUGAUGCAACUGGCCUAUUGCACUCCAACCAGGUGUAUGGUCCACAAGUUUCAAUUCUGGUCGAGAAUUGUGCCACAACACCUCUUGAAAACGAUGUCGGACAUGUCCUUGAGAUGACUGCGCAUAGCGACUCGCUAUAUUCGUAUUAUUAUUCAGAUAAUAAUACCAACAAAAUUCAAGUAACCGAAAUAUUCGACAUUGAAGACAUUACGAAACACGAACUAUGCACAGAUUUGGAAGUUUAUAACAGAGCCGCGGAGGAUCUUCCUGUAGCGCAUCAAACAUGUAAUCCUGAAUGGGAUGGAAUUAAAGCUGUUAAAAUUAUGCCAACGACACCUGAACUACAUGAUGUUGCAUUUUAAAAUCUACCUAGUAUGCCUCCAAAUCUCCAAGUUAAAAAAUAUUUGAAAAAUCAAAUAUUUUAUAUUUCCGUAUUAAAGAUGAGACACGUAUAGUGUAACACGUAUCUGUUAUCCUGAGGCUGAAAAAGAUUAACCAGUUUGGACAUGUAAUUGGACAUGCGCUUUUGAACAUGUCUCUAUAUUAUUUGUAAUGUAACGAACCCAAAGAGGCUUGCAGCCAAACAUUUCAUUGCUAAAAAAAGUUAACACAUUUUAUUGUAGAAACCUAUAUAC